UAAGUAUCUUGUGCAAUAAUAUUAUUUUAAAAAAUGUAAAUAGUAUAAAUUAUUUAGGUAGAGUCAUAAGUUCAAACAACUCGUCUGUUCAGCAUGUAAAUAAAACGAUCUCUAAAUCGAAUCAAACGAAUAUGUUUAUUCAAAUGCUCAGUGGUUGCCGCUUCGGAGUACAUCCAAGCAAGUCACUACUCUUUUAUAAAGCAUUUAUUAGAACUAGAUAUGAAUACGCCUGCUCCUCUUUUUCAAACAUAUCAAAAUCAGUACAAAACAAUAUAAAUAAGCAUGCUAAUUUCCACCUUAGAAAGGCCUUAGGACUUAUUAAAUCGACUCCAAUUAAUAUUAUUUAUAAUCUUGCAGCUGAACUUCCUCCAGCUUAUAGGAUUAAAUUCGCUACAGCGAAGGAGUUGGCCAAAACGUUCGCUCAUGGACUACCAUCUGCGUCGCUUCUGUCAAACUCCUUUGUAGCCAAAAAUACUAGUUACAGUAGAAUUUAUGCUGAAUUUAAAAAUAUCCUGGAUAGUAUUGCUCCUAUUUGUCCUUACUCUCUGUCCACACGCAAGAUUUCAGUUGACACAAAUUUCUUUAAAGGUACUUGUACAAAUAAAAAAAUGGCAAACGAGACUAUAAUUCUCUCUUUAUUUAAAGAAAAAAUAAGAAGUUUAACCUCAAAAAAUAUGGAAAUCAUCUUCACGGAUGGUUCUGUGUCGGAAAAUUUUACAGGAGGUGCCUUUGUCCACUUAAAUUCCAAUUCGAUAAAAAGUUUCUACACCGACAAAAAACUAUCGUCGCUGACUGCUGAACUCACAGCCCUAGAAAAAGCCAUUGACUUCGGUAUUUCAAAAAAGUUCUCCAAAAUAGCAAUUUUAACUGACAGUCUUGGUGCCAUCCAGACAAUAAAGAACACGAACUCCAAAAACUGCAUCUCUCAAUGCAUUCUGAAAAAAGUCAUAAACAACCCAACCCUGCUAUCCAUAGAAUUUCACCACAUUCCAAGCCAUUCCAAUAUUUGGGAAAACGAUCUCGCAGAUACAGCGGCUAAAAAUGCUAAAAUUAACGGCUCUUUCGCACCCGUCAGAUGGACCCUUAAGGACGCAAUCAAUCAUAUGUUCGCGCAAAUAAAACAAGACUGGGAGCGUGAAUACAGUCUGUUCUCAUUAGAGCGUAACAAGGGUUACUCUCUCCUCUCACCAUAUACCACUUCCAAGCCUUGGUUUAAAAACAAAGAACACCUAUUCAACCGUAUAGAAACGAAGACUCUAAACAGAAUCUUAAGCGGACAUGCUUUUGACAAAUACACACUUUCCAAAAUGAAAGUCUACGAUAACGCCCUAUGCGAUUCGUGUAACGUUAAUGAAGACAUUUCGCAUAUUUUGUUAAAUUGCUCAAAAUAUACACCAACAAGACAAAAUUAUCCAACACUACUUAAAUAUAACGAUAUCUAUCGUUUACUUGGAAAUGAACCAAUUGAAAAUUGGACAUCGAUUACCAGUUUCAUUCGAGCUGCUAAUAUUAAUAUCUAAUACAACACACUCCACACUGCUCAUUUAACACACUAUAACACCAUCCACGCUUAUACCAACUCACAAAAUCUCAAAAUUAAAAUUUCUCACACAUAUUGAUAACAUUUUCAUCGCUUAUCGUUCAUCGUCAUCGCUCAUCGUUCAUUGUCAUCAUAACAUCACCAGAAACUACUGCACGAUAUUUACAUAGCUGUCCAUUAAAUUUUGUUUUUCUUGAAAUUUAAUUUCAUACAUUGGCAGUGGCGUUAACCCGUUCCAACGGGGCGGCCAAAUAAUUCUUCCCUCUUCACGGAAGGAAGUAACUUAAUAUUUAAAAAAAAAAAAAAUUUCCCAAUCUCUUUGCAUGAUUAAAACGCGGAAAGGAUUCUCUGGAACAGUUUUUAAAUUGCCAAGACUACGACAUGUCCACCACCCACAAACAGCGCUAUAAAAAUGCCGCCUUGGACUCCACAGAGAUGCGGCGACGUCGCGAGGAGGUGGGCAUUCAGUUGCGGAAGAACAAACGCGAGCAGCAGCUCUUCAAGCGCCGCAAUGUGGUCCUGGAGCCGGCCACCUCCUCGACAUCAGCCGGAAUGGAGAGCAGCGCCAGCAACGAGUUGCAGACUGCCGACAUGCACAUGGCUGACAGCAGUACCGGGCCAACACAUUUUCCGGGCGGACAGAACGAGCCAGCAGCGGGCAGCGGAGCUGUGCCCUCCGUUAUAAACGAGGAAAUGAUUCAGAUGCUUUACAGUGGACGUGAGAGCGACCAGCUGGAGGCCACGCAAAAGUUCCGCAAGCUGCUGUCCCGCGAUCCCAAUCCACCCAUCGAGGAGGUCAUCCAGAAGGGAAUUGUGCCGCAGUUUGUCACCUUUCUGCGGAACAGCUCGAAUGCCACGCUGCAGUUUGAGGCCGCCUGGACGCUGACGAACAUUGCCUCUGGCACCUCGCACCAAACCAAGAUCGUGAUCGAGGCCGGGGCAGUGCCCAUUUUUAUUGACUUGCUCUCCAGUCCCCAUGACGAUGUCCAGGAGCAGGCUGUGUGGGCCCUGGGCAAUAUUGCCGGAGACUCACCCAUGUGCCGGGACCAUCUGCUCGGCUCUGGCAUUCUUAUGCCUCUUUUGAACGUUUUAAGCAACUCGGAGCGUAUUACUAUGAUACGGAAUGCGGUGUGGACGCUUUCUAAUCUCUGCCGCGGCAAGAACCCACCCGCGGACUUCGCCAAAAUUGUCCACGGACUGCCCAUACUGGCACGGCUACUGGACUACACCGAUGCGGACGUGCUCAGCGACACUUGCUGGGCUAUUAGCUACCUGUCGGAUGGACCCAACGAUAAAAUUCAGGCUGUAAUCGAUGCAGGCGUUUGUCGUCGCUUAGUAGAACUGCUGCUACAUCCGCAGCACAACGUCAGCACAGCCGCUUUGAGGGCUGUGGGCAACAUUGUGACUGGCGACGAUCAGCAGACCCAGGUGAUAUUGGGAUACAACGCCCUGCCCUGCAUUAGCCACCUGCUGCGCUCGACGGCGGAAACCAUUAAGAAGGAGUCCUGCUGGACAAUCUCGAAUAUAGCUGCCGGGAAUCGGGAGCAGAUCCAGGCCAUAAUCAACGCCAACAUAUUCCCCCAGCUGAUGAUUAUCAUGCAGACGGCAGAGUUCAAAACGCGAAAAGAGGCCGCCUGGGCCAUUACCAACGCAACCAGCAGCGGAACCUCCGAGCAGAUAAACUACUUGGUGCAGGUGGGCUGUGUGCCUCCCAUGUGCGAUUUCCUCACCGUCGUCGACUCAGACAUCGUCCAGGUGGCGCUGAAUGCUUUAGAAAACAUCUUGAAGGCAGGUGAAAAGUUCCAGACACGACCAAAUCCCUAUGCCAUCACCAUCGAGGAAUGCGGAGGUUUGGACAAGAUCGAGUAUUUGCAGGCACACGAAAACCGCGAUAUCUACCACAAAUCAUUUUACAUUAUCGAGCAGUACUUUGGUAACGAGGAAGAGGACAGCCGGGUUGCUCCCGUGGCGGGCACACAGCAGUUCGAGUUCAAUCCGGACAACAUGCCCAGCACCGGCUUCAACUUUUAGCACCAUACCCGGCCGGACACCAUCAACACUAUUCAAAUGCGAAUCCUUCUAAAGCCCUGAACACACCACACACCCUACAGGAGGCAAAGGCUUGCCUGCCAGAACUUAAGCAGAGGCCAGAGCACGGGCACGAAACAUGGUUCGCAGGAGAGGGCGGAAUGCCUAAGUGCAGUCACUACUAGCAUUUAAGAAAAGUUGGUCAUUCAGUCGGCUCGUUAUCGUUUUUCUUUGUUACACACACUCGUCUGCAUACAUAUUAUCUGCGGUUGAAACUAUAAUUUUCGAAGAGGUCCAGGACCAAGCAUUACCUUACUCAAGCAUUUCACCAGCUGGCGAGAUCGCUUCCACCUAGUUCAUUGAGUUUGUAAAUAUUUUUCAUUAAGCCCAAUUACGUUGAGACCCUGACAUGGUGUUGUUAUGCAUUCAUACAAACAAACGUACUUUACGAUAUUGAUAACGAUUAAAUUAAAACGUUUUUAUUUGAUUUUGUUACAUUUUGCCGAAUGUAAAUUUGAUUAAAUUAUGAAACAUUGUAACUUAAUUUAGAGGGCACAUCAAUAAAGAACAACUAGACCACAACUAUCCAGUAAA